GUGCUCGCUUCGGCAGCACAUAUACUAAAAUUGGUAUGAUACAGAAAAGCUUAGCAUGGCCCCUGCAUGAGGAAGACAUGCAAGUUCGUGAAGCAUUCCAUAAUAAA
rnacentral:snRNA from 1 species